rnacentral:rRNA from 1 species
AUUGAACGCUGGCGGCAGGCCUAACACAUGCAAGUCGAACGAGUGGCGGACGGGUGAGUAAUGUCUGGGAAACUGCCUGAUGGAGGGGGAUAACUACUGGAAACGGUAGCUAAUACCGCAUACCAUCGGAUGUGCCCAGAUGGGAUUAGCUAGUAGGGGGGGUAAAGGCUCACCUAGGGGACGAUCCCUAGCUGGUCUGAGAGGAUGACCACCCCCACUGGAACUGGGCCCCGGUCCCGACCCCUCCGGUAGCCACCAGUGGCGAAUAUUGCACAUUGAGCGCAAGCCUGAUGCAGCCCUGCCGCUUGUAUGAAGAAGGCCUUCGGGUUGUAAAUUACUUUCAGCGGGGAGGCGUUACCCGCAUAAGAAGCACCGGCUAACUCCGUGCCAGCAGCCGCGGUAAUAC